AGAGUUUGAUCCUGGCUCAGGACGAACGCUGGCGGCGUGCUUCAUACAUGCAAGUCGAACGAGAAUCUUUAGCUUGCUAGAGAGGAAAGUGGCGGACGGGUGAGUAAUAUGUAGAGAAUCUGCCCUAGAGAGGGGGACAACAGUUGGAAACGACUGCUAAUACCCCAUAUGAGCGUACCUGCAAUGGUAUUCUUGAAAACUCCGGUGCUCUAGGAUGAGUCUGCAUCUGAUUAGCUAGUUGGGGGUGUAAUGGACCACCAAGGCGACGAUCAGUAGCUGGUUUGAGAGGAUGAUCAGCCACAAUGGGACUGAGACACGGCCCAUACUCCUACGGGAGGCAGCAGUAGGGAAUUUUGCGCAAUGGGGGAAACCCUGACGCAGCAACGCCGCGUGAUUGAUUAAGCCCUUCGGGGUGUAAAGAUCUGUCAGUGGGGACGAAACUUGACGGUACCCACAGAGGAAGCACCGGCUAACUCCGUGCCAGCAGCCGCGGUAAUACGGAGGGUGCAAGCGUUGUCCGGAAUCAUUGGGCGUAAAGAGUUCGUAGGUGGUUUGUUAAGUUUGGUGUUAAAUGCAGGGGCUCAACCUCUGUUCGGCAUCGGAUACUGGCAGACUAGAAUGCGGUAGAGGUAAAGGGAAUUCCUGGUGUAGCGGUGAAAUGCGUAGAUAUCAGGAGGAACAUCGGUGGCGUAAGCGCUUUACUGGGCCGUAAUUGACACUGAGGAACGAAAGCCAGGGUAGCAAAUGGGAUUAGAUACCCCAGUAGUCCUGGCCGUAAACGAUGGAUACUAGGUGUUGCGGGUAUCG
rnacentral:rRNA from 1 species